CAGGGGGCUGUGCUGCAUGUUGCUCUGUAGGUGGAUCAUGGCUCCCGGUCCCCCUGCCAUGGUCAUGUUGUUCAGCUGAGCUGUGAGGAAGGAAGCAGUACAAAAUCCAGGCUGCCCCCCUGCCCCUGGGAAGGCCCAUUGAAGUCUCCUCCGCCACCACCGCGACCAUCGGCCAUCUGCUGCAGCCGGGGAACAUCUACAGAUGUGAGCCAUGACAGAGACUGCAGUUCCCCAGGGAGAUCCUCUUGAAGCUGGGAGGGGUCUGUGGUCAGAAGUCUGCAGGGACGGGACACAAGCAACACAACCACUCAGAUACACAGCCUAGCAUACAACUGUAGGAUAUAUCCAGACCUGGAUUCAAAUACUAGUUGAAAUCAUUAUUGCCAAGGAAGCAAAAAAAUAAUAAUCCCAAAAGUACAAACCCCAAAACAAAUGUGUAAGUAGCCACUUUAUAAAUAGUAUUCAUACUAUUCAGGUCUGGUUAUAUCUAGGGCAAAUAUACAGGACACUGACUGAACAGACAUGUAUUCCAUUAAACCUAAAGUAAUGCAUCCAA